GACAUAGGUGGCGAACGUUAUCCGGAAUUAUUGGGCGUAAAGGAUGCGUAGAUGGCAGAGUAAGUUACUGGUUGAUGUCAAACUCAAUUUGACGGAAGCUGGUAAUACUGUUUUGCUAGAGGACAGGAGAGGUUGAUGGAAUUCUGUGUGGAGCGGUGAAAUGCGUUGAUCUACAGAGGAACACCAAAAAAGGCGAAGGCAGUCAACUAUCCUGUUCCUGACAUUGAGGCAUGAAAGCGUGGGGAGCAAACCGG
rnacentral:rRNA from 1 species